rnacentral:rRNA from 1 species
ACACGACUACAUUAGAUACCCCUGUAGUCCUGGCCGUAAACGAUACUCGCUAGGUGUCGGCCACGGUGCGACCGUUGUCGGUGCCGUAGGGAAGCCGUGAAGCGAGCCACCUGGGAAGUACGGCCCCAAGGCUGAAACUUAAAGGAAUUGGCGGGGGAGCACAACAACGGGUGGAGCUUGCGGUUUAAUUGGAUUCAACGCCGGAAAUCUUACCGGGACCGACAGCAACAUGAAGGCCAAGCUGAAGACUUUGCCGGAUUAGCUG